rnacentral:rRNA from 1 species
UGCUGGAGCGUGUGGAAAAGCAAAUGUAGGUAUAAGUAACGAUAAAGGGGGUGAGAAACCCCCUCGCCGCAAGACUCAGGUUUCCUGAUCAACGCUAAUCGGAUCAGGGUCAGUCGGGUCCUAAGGCUCAGCCGAACGGCGAGGCCGAUGGCAGAACCGGUUAAUAUUCCGGUACUACCCUUUAGGGUGACGUGGAGACGCAGUCGUGACAAUGCCGCCAGCUGACGGAAUAGCUGGUUAAAGGGUGUAGAAGUUGAUUGUGGCAGGCAAAUCCACCACAAGAUUCGAACCUGACAGUAUGGAGCGUCCUUCCGGACAAUCCAACAGUGCAUGUAAUCAUACUGCCAAGAAAAUCCGCUAAACAUAACCUUCAGGGUACCCGUACCGCAAACGGACACACGUAGUCGGGUUGAAUAUACUAAGGCGCUUGAGUGAUUCACGGUUAAGGAACUAGGCAAAUUAACCCUGUAACUUCGGGAAAAAGGGUCCCUACCCGUUAUCGGGAGGGCGCAGAGAAUCGGUCCAGGCAACUGUUUAACAAAAACACAGGGCUGUGCGAAGUCGAAAGACGCUGUAUACAGCCUGACACCUGCCCGGUGCUGGAAGGUUAAGAGGAGAUGUCAUCGCAAGAGAAGCAUUGAAUUGAAGCCCCAGUAAACGGCGGCCGUAACUAUAACGGUCCUAAGGUAGCGAAAUUCCUUGUCGGGUAAGUUCCGACCUGCACGAAUGGUGUAAUGAUCUGGACACUGUCUCAACCGUGAGCUCAGUGAAAUUGUAGUAUCGGUGAAGAUGCCGAUUACCCGCGAUGGGACGAAAAGACCCCGUGAACCUUUACUAUAGCUUAUCAUUGAAUUUGGGCACGUGAUGUGUAGGAUAGGUCGGAGGCUUUGAAGCAGGCACGCCAGUGUUUGUGGAGCCGCUGUUGAAAUACGACCCUUCAUUUGUUUGAGUUCUAACUCGUAAUACGAGGACACUGAUUGGUGGGUAGUUUGACUGGGGUGGUCGCCUCCAAAAGUGUAACGGAGGCUUCUAAAGGUGCCCUCAGACCGAUUGGUAACCGGUCUCAGAGUGUAAUGGCAUAAGGGCGCUUGACUGGGAGACUAACAAGUCGAGCAGGUAGGAAACUAGAGCAUAGUGAUCCGGUGUUUCCGCAUGGAAGGGACAUCGCUCAAAGGAUAAAAGGUACUCCGGGGAUAACAGGCUGAUC